rnacentral:rRNA from 1 species
UACGUAGGUGGCAAGCGUUGUCCGGAAUUAUUGGGCGUAAAGCGCGCGCAGGUGGUUUAUUAAGUCUGAUGUAAAAGGCAGUGGCUCAACCAUUGUGUGCAUUGGAAACUGUUAGACUUGAGUGCAGUAGAGGAGAGUGGAAUUCCAUGUGUAGCGGUGAAAUGCGUAGAUAUAUGGAGGAACACCGGUGGCGAAAGCGGCUCUCUGGACUGUAACUGACACUGAGGCUCGAAAGCGUGGGUAGCAAACAGG